CCUACGGGUGGCAGCAGUAGGGAAUAUUGCACAAUGGGCGAAAGCCUGAUGCAGCAACGCCGCGUGCGCGAUGAAGGCCUUCGGGUCGUAAAGCGCUUUUCUGAGGGAAGAGAACGGACUGUACCUCAGGAAUAAGUCUCGGCUAACUACGUGCCAGCAGCCGCGGUAAUACGUAGGAGGCGAGCGUUAUCCGGAUUUACUGGGCGUAAAGCGCGUGCAGGCGGUCUGGUAAGUUGGAUGUGAAAGCUCCUGGCUCAACUGGGAGAGGUCGUUCAAUACUGCCAGACUGGAGGACGGUAGAGGAGAGUGGAAUUCCCGGUGUAGUGGUGAAAUGCGUAGAUAUCGGGAGGAACACCAGUGGCGAAAGCGGCUCUCUGGGCCGUUCCUGACGCUAAGACGCGAAAGCGUGGGUAGCGAACGGGAUUAGAUACCCUGGUAGU
rnacentral:rRNA from 1 species